rnacentral:rRNA from 1 species
AUUGAACGCUGGCGGCAGGCUUAACACAUGCAAGUCGAGCGAGCGGCGGACGGGUGAGUAAUGUCUGGGAAACUGCCUGAUGGAGGGGGAUAACUACUGGAAACGGUAGCUAAUACAGCAUACCAUCAGAUGUGCCCAGAUGGGAUUAGCUAGUAGGUGGGGUAAUGGCUCACCUAGGCGACGAUCCCUCGCUGGUCUGAGAGGAUGACCAGCCCCACUGGAACUGAGACACGGUCCAGACUCCUACGGGAGGCAGCAGUGGGGAAUAUUGCACGAUGGGCGCAAGCCUGAUGCAGCCAUGCCGCGUGUGUGAAGAAGGCCUUCGGGUUUUAAAGCACUUUCAGCGAGGAGGCGUUACUCGCAGAAGAAGCACCGGCUAACUCCGUGCCAGCAGCCGCGGUAAUAC